GUGAAAAUGUUAGUGUGGAGUGAAGUGAAGUGGUCUAGCGAGGUGGGUCACCUCUUUUAUAGGGCACAAGUGCCGAAAAUCCUUCCUCUUAUGCCCAAAUUUUAUUCCUCACCCACAAUUGUGCGUAUUGAUGACACGUAUUCACACACGUUAAGUUUCCUUGUGAUGUUCCUGUUAAGUCUGUGGGUACCACGUUAAAAAAAAACCUCAAUGCCAUUCUUCAUUAUCUGUUGGUCUAGAUAGAAGGUUAUAGACAUAUGUGUGAAUACUUAUUUACUUAGGUAACAAGAUAUAGGUUAACUUUAUUUUUCUGGGUAAAUGAUCUUAAUAUAGAUGUGUUAACUUUCCUUAGCUUUACAUACAGGAUAUGGCCUUUAGGUCUCUUGCGUUACAGCCAAGCUUACUUCAAUAUAAAUCUCUAAACCUAUUACAAUAAACCAAAUACUUAAAUGUAUAC